GAUGAAGAACGUAGCGAAAUGCGAUAAGUAGUGUGAAUUGCAGAAUUCAGUGAAUCAUCGAAUCUUUGAACGCACAUUGCGCCCUUUGGUAUUCCGAAGGGCAUGCCUGUUCGAGCGUCAUUAUCACCCCUCAAGCCCUCGGCUUGGUGUUGGACGGUUUGGUGGAGGCCCCCUCGGGGGCUCCUGCCCCUCCCAAAGACAAUGACGGCGGCCUCGUUGGACCCCCGGUACACUGAGUUCUUCACGGGACACGUAUCGGACACAUGGGUUUACGGGACACGGUCUGCCUCCCCUCAGGGAGAAUCUUUCUAAGGUUGACCUCGGAUCAGGUAGGGAUACCCGCUGAACUUAAGCAUAUCAAUAAGCGGAGGA
rnacentral:misc_RNA from 1 species